ACACUCAUGUUUCUCUUCAUAUUGUAUAGAUCUUUCGCCUUUUACUAAAGAUUUUUGUGGACAGGAACACAAUGAGUAUAAACUACUUUUUUGAUGUCUUGCUUGAUUGUGAGGUU
ensembl:snRNA U5 U5 spliceosomal RNA